AGCUUUGUGCAGUGGCAGUAUUGUAGCCAAUAAAGUUUAUCCGAGGCAUGAUUAUUACUAAUUGAAAACUUUUCCCAAUACUCCACCAUGAUGUCUUGCAAUAUAGUCAGCAUUGGCAAUUUUUGACAGUCUCUAUGGAAA